UGGCUCAGAACGAACGCUGGCGGCGUGGAUUAGGCAUGCAAGUCGCGCGAGAAAGUCCCUUCGGGGAGCGAGUAAAGCGGCGAACGGGUGAGUAACGGAUGGGUAACGUGCCUCGACGUGAGGAAUAACUCCUGGAAACAGGGGCUAAUACCGCAUACGGCUUCAGGUUCUUCGGGACUUGUCGCCAAAGGGGCCUUCGGGCGCCGCGUCGAGAUCGGCCCGUCUCCCAUUAGCUGGUUGGUGGGGUAACGGCCUACCAAGGCGACGAUGGGUAGCUGGCCUGAGAGGGUGGUCAGCCACACUGGGACUGAGAUACGGCCCAGACUCCUACGGGAGGCAGCAGUCUAGAGGCUUCGGCAAUGCCCGCAAGGGUGACCGAGCGACGCCGCGUGUGUGACGAAGCCCUUCGGGGUGUAAAACACUGUCAGCAGGGACGAAGGCCCGGGAGGCGUUCUUCUCGGGAUUGACGGUACCUGCAGAGGAAGCGCCGGCUAACUCCGUGCCAGCAGCCGCGGUAAUACGGAGGGCGCGAGCGUUGUUCGGAUUUAUUGGGCGUAAAGGGCGCGUAGGCGGGCGAGUCAGUCUGGCGUGAAAUCUUCACCGCUUAACGGGAAGAGGUCGUUGGAUACUACUCGUCUUGAGGCUGUUAGAGGAGAGCGGAAUUCCUGGUGUAGCGGUGGAAUGCGUAGAUAUCAGGAAGAACACCGAUUGCGAAGGCGGCUCUCUGGGGCAGUCCUGACGCUGAGGCGCGAAAGCCAGGGUAGCGAACGGGAUUAGAUACCCCGGUAGUCCUGGCCGUAAACGAUGAGCACUAGGUGUGGGGGGUAUCGACCCCCCCCGUGCCGCCGCUAACGCAUUAAGUGCUCCGNCUGGGGAUUACCGCCGCAAUGCUGAAACUCCAACGAAUUGACGGGGGCCCGCACAAGCGGUGGAGUAUGUGGUUAAUUCGACGCAACGCG
rnacentral:rRNA from 1 species